rnacentral:tRNA from 1 species
CCUGGUAGCUCAGAUGGUAAAGAACCUGCCUGCAAAGCAGGAGACCCGGGUUGGAUCCCUGGGUCAGGA